UUACAAGAUCUCGUACAGGUAUUGAAUUGUGGGAGCAGUCUCCUCUUAACUCCAGAGAGAUCGUGCUCAGCAUUCCGUGCAGCCAUGAGUUGCGUAUUCGAAAACCACGACAUAUUAACUGCAAUAUUUACACCAACAUAGUUAUAUAUCAAGAACUAAUUAUGAGUGAUGCAACAUGAAAAAUACACAUCCAACUAGUUAAAUAUUUGCUCUGCCUUCUUCUCUCGUUCUCUGGAUUUACACCGUGUUUAUCCUAAGUGCUUUUUUUUUUUUUUCUUUUCGAUUUCAUGUUGUUUUCUUAUAUUGCUUGAUGUAAUUUGAGUGUUUUGGUUUAAUUUUGUUAUUGUUUUUUUAUGUUAAUUGUUGUUGAUGAAUAUUUGCCCUCUCCAUCACUUAUAUUCUCUUGCUCCAUUCUUAUUUUUCUAAUAUGGCACUGGCGAAGCACAAGGUCUUCGAGGGCACAAUAAUCUUUGUGCUAAGCAUUUCUAAUCAAUUGCCUCCACAGCUCAGUGAGGGCGGGUUUUGUGAUUCGGCAAGGUGCGCAGGCAAGUUCUUCUGUUUUUUCCUGUGCUAUUCACUUUUUCAAAGAAUGAGUUCUAUAUUUUGCUGGGUGUAUAUUAGUGCAAUAUUCUUUUUGGUGAUUAUAGUUAGCUUUUCCUAUUUUUUUGGGUAAUUUUUUUUUUUCCUAUUGCAUGUUAGGAAUUUUAUUUGAUUUGCUCACGCAUGUUUGGAGACAUUUUGGAUAAUUGGCUAAAAAUCUUUUAUCCUCAUGGAUAUUGAAGAAUUGCUGAUGUGACAAUAUGUUCGGUGAUAUGCCUGACCCGAAAAAGAAUUAGAGACAACAUGGCUAAUUAGGCUUAGUGGGGGAGAGAGUAUACAGAAGGAAACACUCCAAAUUAUGGUAUUAUGAUGAAUAGCUAGCCAAGAAGGCUGAUAUGUCUUAAGGUAUGACUUGGGAAUCAUCUCCCGACCCCUAUGGGUUUGCUAAUAGCUGCUCAAGUUAAACUUCACUUUUGCACUCAACUAACUAUUUGCUUAAGCUAAAUUUAAUUGUGAAUUUUAGCCAAUCUCUUUGAACACAAACAUGGUGCUAGCACCUCCAAGGACACAAAUGGAGAUGGGACAAGCCUUAAAAGUAUUAGAAUUUUCUGUUGUUGUUCAGGUUUGUUUCAUGGCAUGCAAAAUUCCUGUUAUUUAUGAAAUGGUGGAUAUUAUUCGUUGUUGAUGUUCUUCCUACUAAAAGCUUUCCUUAUAAAAAUUGCAAGUUUUCACUUGUAGCAAGUGUACCAUAUAAUAUACUUGACCAAAGAUAAAAAGGGUAAAACAAAAAUAUCAGUCACAAUUUUGUCUGUCGUGAGUUGCCAGCUGUCUAUGGAUGUGUAGUGCGUUGUUUGUAGUUUUCUCUGUUCACUAAGGAGUAUUUAGGUUAUUUUAGACGAAGGGAAUAAUGAUGGUGCUCCUGGAUUACUGUGGUUAAUUUUGAUUGCAGCUUUGGGAUGAUGGAGAGCCACAAGAUACAAGGGAGAAUCAUUUGGAAGAAAACUGCUCGCACAUAUGGUUCUUUUACUGUAUAAGGUUUAUGAGACGAGGACAUUUUGACAGAUGAUCGGGAGGAGGUGCAAUGUUGAAGGGAUUCAUUUAGUGAAGCAGGCAAAAUAGUAUAAUAUAAUUUGCCAAGUGAUCACAGUGGGAUGAUGACCUAACAACAUUGGAUGUUCGCAAGUUUAAGCCUAUUCAUAACUGCAAGUUCAAUUACGAGUGGAUACCCAGCUGAAAUACGUGUUGUCAACCGCAGCGGCUAAAAUCCAGAUUUCAUGCAAUUGUAACAUAGUUCAUACAUAAGAUGGUGGACCACCUACAUGAUCAUGAACAAUCUCACUGUUUUUGUCUUCGUAGCAAGUUCAACAAUGUACUUGUAUAACUUUGUUCCCCAAAUGAAUGUACAUAGUAUGAAGCAUAUCAUGUUAAUAUUUUGUUUAAUGACAUUUCUUCAUUUGGAUAAUUUCACUACACAAUGGAACCACCGUGAAAUUACCUUCCCCAA